GUAGGUGGCGAGCGUUGUCCGGAAUUAUUGGGCGUAAAGCGCGCGCAGGCGGUCCUUUAAGUCUGAUGUGAAAGCCCACGGCUCAACCGUGGAGGGUCAUUGGAAACUGGGGGACUUGAGUACAGAAGAGGAAAGCGGAAUUCCAAGUGUAGCGGUGAAAUGCGUAGAGAUUUGGAGGAACACCAGUGGCGAAGGCGGCUUUCUGGUCUGUAACUGACGCUGAGGCGCGAAAGCGUGGGGAGCAAACAGGGAUUAGAUACCCUGGUAGUCCACGCCGUAAACGAUGAGUGCUAAGUGUUAGGGGGUUUCCCGCCCCUUAGUGCUGCAGCUAACGCAUUAAGCACUCCGCCUGGGGAGUACGGCCGCAAGGCUG
rnacentral:rRNA from 1 species